GAUAAACGCUGGCGGCACACAUAAGACAUGCAGGUCGAACGAACUUAACCUUAAUAUUUAUAUUGAGGAGCGGCUAGUGGCGGACGGGUGAGUAACGCGUGAGCAAUCUGCCUUCAAGAGGGGGACAACAGCUGGAAACGGCUGCUAAUACCGCAUAACAUAUAUUUGUGGCAUCACAGAUAUAUCAAAGGAGAAAUCCGCUUGAAGAUGAGCUCGCGUCCCAUUAGCUAGUUGGCGGGGUAGAGGCCCACCAAGGCGACGAUGGGUAGCCGGACUGAGAGGUUGAACGGCCACAUUGGGACUGAGACACGGCCCAGACUCCUACGGGAGGCAGCUGUGGGGAAUAUUGCGCAAUGGGGGAAACCCUGACGCAGCAACGCCGCGUGAUUGAAGAAGGCCUUCGGGUUGUAAAGAUCUUUAAUCAGGGACGAAGGAAGUGACGGUACCUGAAGAAUAAGCUCCGGCUAACUACGUGCCAGCCGCCGCAGUAAAA
rnacentral:rRNA from 1 species